GCAUGGCUGAAUACUGUGUUCUUUAGUCAGUAAUUUACACAGCCAGACACCAUGCAAAAGUAAAGUCUUCCUUUUAAAAUGAAUGAUGAUAUAUUUGGUUGUUUUUUAUGGUGUAUCAUCAUUAAUUAAAAGCAAGUACACUG